ACAAACUGAAGAAAUAUGUCUGGCAAGUCAUGGAGGCAGCAGAGAUGUGAUGGCUUUGGCUUCUGUAAAAGGUUGCUCUGAGCUUUCUCACUGGUUCCUGAGGAAGCUCCAUCUCCUGAGAAUUUUCUGGGCUCAGAGGACCUGUGUACGUGAACCACGGAAAGGAAGAGGGAAAAGUGACAUAAACAAAAAUGACAAUUGUAGCGUUUACUGACAGAAGCUGUUCCAAACCUUCCAGCUAAAGAAAAAAAUGAAACCAAACAUUCCCUCCUUUGCCCCAAAACAGCAAGUGUCUAGGAGAAACUUCACGUACCUCAUUGUUUGCCUGCAAAGCCUAUGUUGCACUGUUGUCAAACCAUAUAGAAACCUGGAUUUUUGCACAUUGUGUGAAGAGUGUAGCAGUGAAUCAGACUUGUUAUCAAAUGGGAGCUCCUGUACAGAGAAUGGGGUGCAGAGGAUGGACGAGAAGCACAAAAGUCACCCUCUUCUCAGUCACUCCUGUACUUUGCGUUCUCAUCUCUGCACUUCUGAAGCUGAAUUUGUGUUCAAAUGCAAAGUUAUCCCUUAGAGUGAUGGCUCUGGAGCAUGAGGACCAUUAGUGCUUUCUGGAAAAUACUGAGGUUGAUGGAAAAAAUGACAACAAACCUAUACUAUUUCUGCUAAAUCCAAUGUUGCUAAUCUGGAUUCAACUCAUGCAAAGCAGCAAGAUGUGGGCCUGAGCAGCUAGAGAAUAGCAAUUAUGGAAGAGAAAAGGCAGCAUCGUGUAAGACUAUGAUCUGUUGUCUCUUCAUUCAGAUCUUCAGCUCUAAGGAAUCUCUCUUUGUAUGCUGAACCCAGUUACAACUAUGACGUGAAAUGAAAUAUGAUGCAUCGUAAAGACCUUAGCUAUCAAUUAGCAAUACACAAGAAUGAAAGAUGAAUACCUAAUAUGCGACUGAUACAUCCUCCAGUGAGAAUGCCUGGGUACUUGAAGUGCGUGCCUGUAUUCCUGGGGAAGGCACAGAAAGCUGCUUGAUGUCCACAGCAGUUGGCACUGAGCAGUUGGCAGCUUCUUCAUCUCCUUCUCCAGAGAGAGCCCAUUUUACACCACAGUUUGGUUUUUAUCUCUAAAUGUAGUGCAGAACCUGCCACGAAGAAUGACACUGAUGUUCAGGGAAGAGACAUUCAGCAAAGGCCCUGAUGUGAAAUGCAGUGAAAAGGAAAUGUUUCUUUUGCAUUUGAAGUGACUGCUCAGAGCCACGUUAACAAUCUGUGGAGUGUUCACUGGUGAAUUCGCUGGGGCUACGGGGGCUGCCCCAGAUCAGUGCAUGUGUCCCCUUGUUCUGCCAGCAGGGCAGGAGGAGAAGUGCCACAGUUUGUCCUCAGCACGUGCCAGCAGGGCUGACAGGGACACAGCCUGCUUCUCUUCAGCCCCAUGUCCACCGGCAGCAUAUCCUCAUUGUCCAACAGUGUGCGCUGGCAGCCCAGGGACAGAGGGCUUCUGCAUCAGAGACAUUCCCCUCUGCAAGCCAUCCUCGUAGACCUAGGUCUGCAGCCUGCAGGGCGUGUGCUAAAAUGUUUCUGUUGGAAUAUCUAAAUGGUUAGAAAGAGAUUGCAAUGAAGGCCAGUUUAGAACUUCAGAAUUUCACCCUGUUGUUUUGUGCCUCAAUAUUGUUUUUCUUUUAUGCACAGACAUUAACAUUUUGAUUUUUGAUUGAAAUAGCAAAUAAAAGGUCUGGUAUUUAUCUGAAAAGUACUGAAAACUGAGUUCUAAUGCAAUCACCCCCAAAAGAAAUACGCAUCAGUGGAAAGCACAUUGGAUUAUAAUGAAAUAAACUGGUGGCUUCUAAAGAUAGGGUAGGUUCAACUGUAUUUAUUUUUUAAAUCUUUUCUAUUAUUUUUAUGGAAAGAUAUUUCCUCCACAAUUUUGUGAAACACAUUUCUUAAUGUUAAGAAAAUAAUGCUUCCUUGCAAAUUGCCUUGUUUCAGCUGAUCUAGAUUAAGUUAUAUCUAAGGGUGGCUUAAUGGUCUCACUGUAUGAAUGCACGUGCAAUUUACAGACCUGUCAAUAAUGAAAAUCUUCAAGUAUGCAGAUAUCUUUUUAAAUGAAUAGUUGGCCUAACAUUUUGACACUUAAAAUGAAGAUCAGUAAAGGUUUUCUAUUAGUGAUGUUGUUUUCAUAAACACUUCAUUACAGACAGCCAAAAACCAGGGAGAUUGCAUUCCUUGUGAGUGUAAUAGCAGUAAACACAUGCAGUACAAGUGUAUCUAUUAUUUACAACCCACCUAAGGCUCUAUCAGCACCAGCAGCAAAACAGACAGUAUCUUAUCAGUAAAACU